UUGUACCAGAUUUCGUUAUUUUACCAAAAUGUUUUGAUUCACAAUUAAGGUGGAAAAUAGAAGUUAUGUGUUUAAUGUAUUUGUGUUGAUGUUAAAAUGGAUUUUAAAACAUACGGUAUCG